AGAGUUUGAUUAUGGCUCAGGAUGAACGCUAGCGACAGGCCUAACACAUGCAAGUCGAGGGGCAGCACAAGGAGUAAUCUGAGGUGGCGACCGGCGCACGGGUGAGUAACACGUAUGCAACCUGGCUGUAAGAGGGGAAUAACCCGGAGAAAUCCGGACUAAUACCGCAUAAUACUUAGAAUCUGUAUGGAUUUUAAGUUAAACAUUUAUGGCUUACAGAUGGGCAUGCGUAUGAUUAGCUGGUUGGAGAGGUAACGGCUCCCCAAGGCAACGAUCAUUAGGGGUUCUGAGAGGAAGGUCCCCCACACUGGUACUGAGACACGGACCAGACUCCUACGGGAGGCAGCAGUGAGGAAUAUUGGUCAAUGGACGCAAGUCUGAACCAGACCCAAGUCGCGUGAAGGAAGAAUGUCCUAUGGAUUGUAAACUUCUUUGAAGGGAAUAAAGUACGGUACGUGUACCGUUUUGUAUGUACCCUUCGAAUAAGGAUCGGCUAACUCCGUGCCAGCAGCGGC
rnacentral:rRNA from 1 species